rnacentral:rRNA from 1 species
AUGUUGCUGCGGUUAAAGGCUCGCAGUUGAAUGUCAGUUAUAAUACGCGAUGAGAUGCCGGGACGUUGUUCGUGUGUUGACCUUCGUGUCUCGCUCGUUCCGUCCCCUGAGCGCAUUUCUCGCAAUCUAACAAUAAUUACAGAGCCCGUCGCGUUCGUGCAUAUGUGUCUUUUGCUCACGCGAUUGAUGCGUACGUUCGUGAUAGCUCUGUAGUUGACACCUUGAGUAAAUCAGAGUGCUUAACGCAGUCGUUUAAUACCGGCUACUUGUUUUCGACUCGUUCGUGAACUAGUUUGCCAGUGACGGAUUUAUCCGUUUAGACAUUGUCUUUGCUUUGCAUGGUACGUCGAAAGACGCCGUGUGAGUUGGUCGCGCUUACGGUUAGACACACAUUUUUGUGUGCGCGUGCACCAACGAGCACGGAAUGAUAUGAAAGGGAUGGUUCGAAGGCAUUGGUAUUGCCGGGCGAGAGGUGAAAUUCUAUGACCCCGGCAAGACUCCCCGAAGCGAAAGCGUCUGCCUAGGACGUCUUCAUUAAUCAUGAACGAAAGUUGAAGGAUCGAAGGCGAUCAGAUACCGCCCUAGUUUUAACCGUAAACGAUACCAACCAUCAAUCCGUCGGAGCGUUCCCUUACUCCCGUUGACCAGCUUUGCUGGGAUGCGUGGACAAGUGUAAGCUCGAUGGGCAGCUCCUCUAUCACGGAAAACCAGAGUGUUUCGGUUCCGGGGGGAGUCUGGUUGCAAAGCUGAAACUUAAAGGAAUUGACGGAAAGGCACCACCAGGCGUGGAGCUUGCGGCUCAAUUUGACUCAACACGGGAAAUCUCACCAGACCCAAACAUCUUUAAUGACUGACAGACUGAAAGCUCUUUCUUGAUAAAGUGGAUGGUGGUGCAUGGCCGUUCUUAGUUGGUGGAGUGAUCUGUCUGGUUAAUUCCGAUAACGAACGAGACUCUCCCCUGCUAACGAACCUUGUGUUCUUGUAGACAGUGUGAUUCGAAUCAUGAAUAUAUACUCGCGAGAGUUUAUUCUGACGAUGUCCACUGAUCCUUGCUGCGUCGGGAGUGGUACUUUAUACUGGCACUCGGACGCGUGUUGAUCGGAAUUCAUUCUGUGUCUCUCGCAUUCGAUGUUGCUGUUGGAGUUCCUUUCGGCUGUGGCUUGGAGUAUUUUUCUUCUUAGAGGGAUUGUCGGCUAGUAAGUCGAAAGAAACCGAGAGCAAUAACAGGUCUGUGAUGCCCUUAGAUGUUCUGGGCUGCACGCGUGUUACAAUGCCGGGAUCAACGGGUUAUUACACAUCUCGUGUCCUACUCCGAAAGGAGCGGGUAAACCUUUGAAAUCCCUGACGCGUGAGAGAUACGUUCUAUCCGCACUAUGGCUUGCUUGGGACUGGGGAUUGCAAUUAUUCCCCACGAACGAGGAAUGCCUUGUAGUUGCAAGUCACAGAGCUUGCUGCGACUCUGUCCCUGCCCUUUGUACACACCGCCCGUCGCUACUACCGAUUGAGUGUACCAGUGAGAUGCUUGGACUGGCGAACCGAUGUCUUCUGGCUCGGCGUACGACACAAAGAGACUCGAACUGGUGCACUUAGAGGAAGUAAAAGUCGUAACAAGGUUUCC